rnacentral:rRNA from 1 species
GGCUCGGUCGAGAGGCCGGCCCAUGGGCGCAGUGGAUCCUCGCCUUCGGCUGGAGUGUCUCAUUGUUGUGGUUUCGGUUGUCUGAUGUUGACGUGCCCUUUGCGGGGUGUUAGCCUCUGGCGGUCGGGGUCGGGCACUCCCCUCCCCCUUUUUCCCCGUCUUUGGGGUCUUUGGGGCCGCUUUUUCAUAAGCACCUUGAGGAACAUGAAUUUAGAGAUUGAGCUUGGGGCCCUUGUGUUGCCUUUGCCGGUGACACAGCCCGAGUCAAAACCCAAAGUAAUGACUCUCAGCAACGGAUAUCUUGGCUCUUGCAACGAUGAAGAACGCAGCGAAAUGCGAUACCUAGUGUGAAUUGCAGAAUUCCGCGAAUCAUCGAGUCUUUGAACGCAAGUUGCGCCCGAGGCUUGUCCCGAGGGCAUGCCUGCCUGAGCGUCACCGCACUCCCACCUAGAUACUCUCCAGUGUGGAAUUGGCUGUCCGGGACCCGGCGUGAAGCUAUGGGUCGCGGUGGGCUGAAAUGUAGCUAUCUGGGCAUAAGCCAAAGAGGGAGGUAGCGAGAAGGUGAUCUGCUCUUUGUUGAGCAGAGUCUAAUUGGACAGCGCCUCUCCCUGCGGGGGUCCAGAUGGUGGCACUCAAUGUGUCAUUGGGGAGUGCAAGUAAUGUUGCAUCUCCCCUCCUUUAAAGCUUGGACCUCAGAUCAGGCAAGAUUACCCGCUGAGUUUAAGCAUAUCACUAAGCGGAGGAAAAGAAACUAACUAGGAU